GUAGGGAAUAUUGCACAAUGGGGGAAACCCUGAUGCAGCGACGCCGCGUGAGUGAUGAAGGCCUUCGGGUCGUAAAGCUCUGUCGUAUGGGACUAACACAAUGAAGGUACCAUGCAAGAAAGGAUCGGCUAACUUCGUGCCAGCAGCCGCGGUAAGACGAGGGAUCCUAGCGUUGUUCGGAAUCAUUGGGCGUAAAGCGGGUGUAGGCGGAUUUAUAAGUCAGGUGUGAAAUCCCAGGGCUCAACCCUGGAAGUGCACUUGAUACUGUAAAUCUUGAGUGUGGUAGAGGUUACUGGAAUUGUUGGUGUAGUGGUGAAAUACGUAGAUAUCAACAGGAAUACCGGAGGCGAAGGCGAGUAACUGGGCCAACACUGACGCUGAGACCCGAAAGCGUGGGGAUCAAACAGGAUUAGAUACCCGGGUAGUCC
rnacentral:rRNA from 1 species